rnacentral:rRNA from 1 species
UACGUAGGGGGCGAGCGUUGUCCGGAUUUACUGGGCGUAAAGAGCGUGUAGGCGGCCAGGUAGGUCUGCUGUGAAAACUCGAGGCUCAACCUCGAGACGUCGGCGGAAACCAUCUGGCUAGAGUCCGGAAGAGGAGAGUGGAAUUCCUGGUGUAGCGGUGAAAUGCGCAGAUAUCAGGAAGAACACCCGUGGCGAAGGCGGCUCUCUGGGACGGUACUGACGCUGAGACGCGAAAGCGUGGGGAGCGAAUGGG